GCGUGGGUGAAGAAGGUCUUCGGAUUGUAAAGCCCUUUCGGCGGGGACGAUGGUGACGGUACCCGCAGAAGAAGCCCCGGCUAACUUCGUGCCAGCAGCCGCGGUAAUACGAAGGGGGCUAGCGUUGCUCGGAAUGACUGGGCGUAAAGGGCGCGUAGGCGGCUUGUAGAGUCGGGUGUGAAAUUCCUGGGCUUAACCUGGGGGCUGCAUUCGAUACCUAUGGGCUGGAGUGGGGAAGAGGGUCGUGGAAUUCCCAGUGUAGAGGUGAAAUUCGU
rnacentral:rRNA from 1 species